rnacentral:rRNA from 1 species
GAAGAAACGUUUUCUGCAUCCAGGAUUAGCCUAAAUCCUUUGGGAUAAGGUAUCAUGGAGGGUGAGAAUCCCGUUCAUGGUUAAUCUUAAGGAAGCUCUACGAUACAUUUUCCAAGAGUCGAGUUGUUUGGGAUUGCAGCUCAAAAUGGGAGGUAAAUUUCUCCUAAGGCUAAAUAUUGGCGAGAGACCGAUAGCGAACAAGUACCGUGAGGGAAAGAUGA